AUGGCCUCGGGAGUGUUCGGUACCCCCAUUUCAGAGAAGACGGUGCUGGCCACUGGAGAGUAUAAGGAACCCAUCACUCAAAAGGAUGUUGCAGACUAUACCAUGAAGAUGAUCAACGCCGGUGGUAAGGAUAUUAACGCACAAACCUUCGUCGACAACCUCAAGGAGAGGUACGGUAACGGAAUAUCUGUAAAAUGCCUCAUCUACAAUGCCACCGGUGCCACUUUGAACUUGGCUAACUACAAAGACUGGCACGGCCAUAUCUACGAUACACCCUACCCAUCAGAUAUUCAGAAUGGGCAAUGGGGGGCAUUUCUCCACGUCCACCCAAGUGGCGCUGCGGUUGGUUCAGCUGGUGCCGUUGUGUAUCGUACCAAGGUCCCAUCCAGCAGCAGCUCCUGCGAUUGGUUGUUCUCCUGGACCGUCCCCUACAUUGGUGCCAAUGGGAUCUACACCGAAAUCCGUGAGGAAGGGCACUACCCAAGUGUGGGAAGCUGGGAUUAUAUCUAUGACGUGAAGCUGGAAAAUGCAAAUCUCAACUCUACUGAUAAAAACUAUGGACAUGUUUCCGAGACAAACAUCGGUGAAGGCUCUACCAUGAACGCUCGUGGAGUUUUCCAGUUUCCCUACUAG
rnacentral:rRNA from 1 species